ACUUUUGUGCAGGGGGUGUGGUUAAAUGUCAAAACGAUGUGUGUUGUCCCCCGAACCACGCCGCGGUUGCCCUCCAGAGACUCCCGCUUGCCUCGCGGGAAAGUGUUUUAUGCCUUUUCUGUACAGUAACAAAGGAUUUUAUAUGGAUAAAGACUUUAAAUAGUAUACUAUGUAUGCCACGUGGCUAGUAAUCUUGUUAGCUAAAGACGUUUGACUCUAGUUGAGCGCUUGUUUUUAAAAAGUAUGUGUUUUUGGAAUUGUGGAAUUGGCUAUGUACCUCUGAAAAGAGAAAUAGUGGCCCAUGGGCAGAAAGCCGAGAAUUUGCUCUAUCAAGUACCGUUAUUGGACAAAGAAGUGUUCUGCGAGUACAAGUACAAGCGAUAGUACCUCGACUAAUGAUAUAAAUUGUACCUCCUCCAAGGAAGAUGAGUGUGAGCCUAGUACAAGCGAUAGUACCUCGACUAAUGAUAUAAAUUGUACCUCCUCAGUCCAAGGUUUGGAACAGUGUGACCUCUGUCUACUGGUAUGUGCUUGUGUUCACGUUGAGUGACCUCUGUCUACUGGUAUGUGCUUGUGUUCACGUUCAAAGUACCCGAAAAGGUGGGAACAUCGUCUGUGGUCUAUCCUGCAGCUGGUUUUGCCCCCCGAUUAGCGGCAAGGGGUGUGUCUGUAGCAGAGUUCAACCUUGAACCUACACCAGUCACUGGAUCACUCAAGUACCAUUUCCAAGGCAAGUGUGGGGAGAUACUUCCCGAAGCUGUGAAAAGGCAUCCAUCAGAACCAGAGCAAUAGAAUCGUCAUAGCUACAUGUACAUAUUGAAUUAUCGUACCAGUAACUAAAUUCUCGUCCAUUUUUGUCCUAUUUUUUUAUUUUUUUUAUUGUGUUUGUCCACGGUUCUGAAUUACUAAUAUAUAUACAAU